CGAGCUCUCGGGGAUAUGAUGAUUAAAUAAGUAGAGGCGGUAUUCCCAGAGAGACCCUCUGAAAGCUGAAAGACCAUUCCACUUCAGCUUUGUUUGACAGCGUUUGGGAGGCGAUGACGUCUGUUGACGGGGUUUAUGUGGCGACCCUGCCUAGAUGGCUAUGCUUCAACGCUAAGGUGUGGGUGCAUAGCAGUCUUUGGUCCAUUUUAACUAGGCCAUUCGAUCAGGGACGGCUUUCCGUGACGGAUUAAGAAUGAGACCCCUGAAAUUAGGAGCAAGUGUGACACCUACCUGCGGAAGUGGGAAGGAAGAGUUUGAGCCUUGAGGACAGUGAGAGGCUCGGUUAUUGACAAAACCGAUUAAACCCUGGAAACUAUGUGGCCUUUACUGUGUGCUUGACAUGCUAGUCUUGCUAUCCUCCUU